GUCGGGAAUAUUGCACAAUGGAGGAAACUCUGAUGCAGUGACGCCGCGUGCAGGAAGAAGGUUUUCGGAUUGUAAACUGCUUUAGACAGGGAAGAAGAAAGACAGUACCUGUAGAAUAAGCUCCGGCUAACUACGUGCCAGCAGCCGCGGUAAUACGUAGGGAGCAAGCGUUAUCCGGAUUUAUUGGGUGUAAAGGGUGCGUAGACGGGUAUAUAAGUUAGUUGUGAAAUCCCUCGGCUCAACUGAGGAACUGCAACUAAAACUGUAAAUCUUGAGUGCGGGAGAGGAAAGUGGAAUUCCUAGUGUAGCGGUGAAAUGCGUAGAUAUUAGGAGGAACACCAGUGGCGAAGGCGACUUUCUGGACCGUAACUGACGUUGAGGCACGAAAGUGUGGGGAGCAAACAGG
rnacentral:rRNA from 1 species